CUUACAUUCUGGAGGCACCGCUGGGAUCCCUGGGGUGCUGCACUACAGUCAGCUCCUUGGAGUGUUUGGUAAGGCCCCCGGUCUUACAAAGUAACUAAAAUUUCAGAGCCAUUCUUUCUAAAUCUCAAAUUUGGCAAGACACUGAGACCAAUUCUCUGUCCUGUCCCCUCCAAUCUAGACCAUGUUUGGAAUGACCAUCACUGGGGAAAGCUACCCUGGCACCAAGGGACAAAGCUGCAGAUGAUUAGUUGUCAAUGCUUUUAGAAGUGAAGAAAAUUCAUCACAAUAUGGGGGAAAGUUGUGAGCAUGAAAGAGCAACUUUUGUGUCAACUCUACCAAAGCUCCAGCAUCUGGCUUUCCCUUGUUUAUGCUCCUGCCACCUGUGCAUGCCAAUCCAACAUGAGACAGCCAGACAGAGAUAAGCAACUUCUUCAAACUUCCUCUUGCUGUGCACCUAGUGGAUAUCUUCUUCCUCCUGGUCUCAGAUGAAGUGAUGGAUAUGCAGAUGCCACCAGCUGCCCCCCCUCCCUCCCUGAGGCCGGGCCCAUUUUCCUUUUCACAAGAAAGAGGAGGAUGAGCUAAAGAUGACUGAAAGUGAUAAAGCAAGUGUGAAGUUCUGCUGUUAUCUCUCUGUGCUCCCCUCACCUCUGUUCCUUUCUUUA